CUUAAAGGUUCCUUGCCCAAGAAAAGGAAACAGAAACCUGCUGAGAUAGCCAAGGGGGAAAGAGAAGAGAGAGUGACCUCUUUAGAAAGAGCUGCAGCCCUGGAAAUCUGACUAAUGGCUGGAGAGGGCCAGAUGUUUUAUCCUGCUACGUUAAGUCAUCUUGACAUGCUGCCACGAAAUGCAAACAACUGCUAGUUUUAAUAUCGCUCCAUAUCUUUAUUACAAGUCGAAAGGCUUGAACUUCAUGGAUGAGGACUUGUGUUUUCAUUUGAAUGAGGAACCGACUGUCUGAGCCAGCAGCUGAAGAUUCCAAAGAAUCAUGGUGUCUCCUCUGACAAUGGGUCCUUAGAGGGCCCUCUUCUAUCCCAGCAGCAAAGGCCCCUCACUGUGAUCGUCCGGUGGUGCUGACUUGCCCAUGAAACCCUCGGUCCUACACCUUGGAGACUGCCUUCUGUCCAAAGUGUUUGAGACGGGGCCCUGGUUUUAUGAACUCAGUGCCUGUC
rnacentral:lncRNA from 1 species